GACAGAGGGUGCAAACGUUGCUCGGAUUUACUGGGCGUAAAGCGCGUGUAGGCGGCUUUGCAAGUCGGAUGUGAAAGCCCACGGCUCAACCGUGGAAGUGCAUCCGAAACUGCAUGGCUUGAGUCUCGGAGAGGAAGGUGGAAUGCUUGGUGUAGAGGUGAAAUUCGUAGAUAUCAAGCAGAACACCUGCGGCGAAGGCGGCCUUCUGGACGAUGACUGACGCUGAGACGCGAAAGCGUGGGGAGCAAACAGG
rnacentral:rRNA from 1 species